rnacentral:lncRNA from 1 species
GCCUCCUGCUUGCCGGCCUGGCGGUCCUACUCAACACCGCAAGAUUUCAAAAGGGAAAUUCCUCCAGGGCUGAGUCACAGGGAAGAAAGCGAUUUCCUCCGCCUCUUCCAAAGCGGCCCCUUUGGUGCCAGUCUGCUGGAGUUUGCUGGAGGUCCACUCCUGACCCUGUUUGCCUGGGUAUCACCAGCAGAGGCUGCAAAGCAGCAAAGAUUGCUGCCUGUUCUUUCUUCUAGAAGCUUCGACCCAGUGGGGCACCUGUCAGAUGCCAGCCAGAGCUCUCCUGUAUCAGGUGUCUGUCGGUCCAAGCUAGAAGGAUUUUAUAACCUGACAGCGUGCUGGAACUUCUCUGCUGGACUCCUGGACUCCCACAAUGGUUGUGGGGCUAGACAAGAAGGAAAAAAAUCACUGUCCUCAUGGAAGUUAAAUUGUACUGACAAAGGAGGAAAAUGUCAGGGAGUUAACAAUUCAGUCUCUGUGGCUUCCUCCUGUCCUCUCCCUGAAACUGAGAUCCAGCCAAUCUGCACAUUUAUUCUGAGAGUGGCCCCACUUUAAUGACUACACCCAGCUGUCUACACACCAGGAGGGGAGGGAACUGUAUCCUGAGGCACCAACCCGAUUACCCACCCAACAGCCACAGGGACUUCCAGUGACUGGGGCAUCAUCCUCAAUGCCACCAACCCCUCUCCUUCCUGUGGCUUUUCUAACUGGAACUGGAACUCAGAAAGUACAUUAAUCACCAAUUUGGGAAGCUAUAGGAAAGUAUGUUUUCUAAUAUACAGUGAGAGAAUGUGACUGAUAAAACCAAUUUUCUUGAGACUUUCUCCCUGGAAAGUGAAUAUAUGUAUUCAUAGGGCCUUCACAAGCACAGACUAACAAGCAAAGAGCUACAUUCACUGGGAAGGAAGACUCAAAAUUUAAAAAUAGAAAAAAAAAUGAUGGCCCAGAAGAGCAAGUUCAGAGUGCUGUUCAUGAGUGAUCCGCAUGGGACCGCGAUGCCUCUGACGUCUGCCAUCCUGGAGAGCAGCAGAGCGUCACUAGCAGGUCCUCGUCUUCUCACUUCAUAACAUUCUUUCCAAAAGUCUUGUUGACAUUCUUCUGUCUUCCACAUAUAGUUUAUCUUCUUGAACUCAUUAUAACUUUAAAAUAUUUUUACUGUGUUACAUGUACUGCUUAUAUUUGUUUAUUUUAUAAUUAUUAAUUUUAAAUUGUGCACUUUAUUUUGCUCUAACAAUAAAAUUGACAUGUUCGUAUA